GACGAACGCUGGCGGCGUGCUUAACACAUGCAAGUCGAACGGAAAGGCCCUGCUUUUGUGGGGUGCUCGAGUGGCGAACGGGUGAGUAACACGUGAGUAACCUGCCCUUGACUUUGGUAUAACUUCAGGAAACUGGGGCUAAUACCGGAUAGGAGCUCCUGCUGCAUGGUGUGGGUUGGAAAGUUUCGGCGGUUGGGGAUGGACUCGCGGGUUAUCAGCUUGUUGGUGGGGUAGUGGCUUACCAAGGCUUUGACGGGUAGCCGGCCUGAGAGGGUGACCGGCCACAUUGGGACUGAGAUACGGCCCAGACUCAUACGGGAGGCAGCAGUGGGGAAUAUUGCACAAUGGGCGGAAGCCUGAUGCAGCAACGCCGCGUGCGGGAUGACGGCCUUCGGGUUGUAAACCGCUUUCGCCUGUGACGAAGCGUGAGUGACGGUAAUGGGUAAAGAAGCACCGGCUAACUACGUG
rnacentral:rRNA from 1 species